rnacentral:rRNA from 1 species
GAUUGGAGUCUGCAACCCGACUCCAUGAAGCUGGAUUCGCUAGUAAUCGCGCAUCAGCCACGGCGCGGUGAAUACGUUCCCGGGCCUUGUACACACCGCCCGUCAAGCCAUGAAAGCCGGGGGGCGCCUGAAGUCCGUGACCGCGAGGGUCGGCCUAGGGUGAAACCGGUGAUUGGGGCUAAGUCGUAACAAGGUACC